rnacentral:rRNA from 1 species
UUCGCCAGGGAACUACGAGCCCCAGCUUAAAACCCAAAGGACUUGGCGGUGCUUUAGACCCCCCUAGAGGAGCCUGUUCUAUAACCGAUACUCCCCGUUCAACCUCACCCCCUCUUGUUCUCCCCGCCUAUAUACCGCCGUCGUCAGCUCACCCUGUGAAGGAUGAAUAGUAAGCAAAACUGGCAAAGCCUAAAACGUCAGGUCGAGGUGUAGCGUAUGAGGGGGGAAGAAAUGGGCUACAUUUUCUGACUCAGCAAACACGAAAGUUGUAAUGAAAAAGCAUAUGAAGGUGGAUUUAGUAGUAAGGUGGGAACAGAGAGCCCACCUGAAAACGGCCCUGAAGCGCGCACACACCGCCCGUCACUCUCCCCAAAAACAGCACCCUAUACAUAAUUUCAUUAGACAUAUAAAAGAGGGGAGGCAAGUCGUAACAUGGUAAGUGUACCGGAAGGUGUACUUGGACAAAC